GACGGAAGGUGCAAGCGUUGCUCGGAAUCACUGGGCGUAAAGGGUGCGUAGGCGGCCGUGCAAGUCUGGCGUGAAAGCCCCGGGCUCAGCCCGGGAAGUGCGCUCGAAACUGCGCGGCUCGAGUGCCGGAGGGGAGAGUGGAAUUCCUGGUGUAGCGGUGAAAUGCGUAGAUAUCAGGAGGAACACCAGUGGCGAAAGCGGCUCACUGGGUCUUUCCUAACGCUGAGGCACGAAAGCUAGGGGAGCGAACGGG
rnacentral:rRNA from 1 species